AAAAAUCCUCAUAAACAUUAAAUUAAGAAUGAAAUGCCUUUCUAGUCUGUUAUUUUUCUGUCAUAUCAAUUGCAAGUAUUUUAUCUGUUAUCUUAAGUGUUGUAUUUUCUGCUUCAUCAUUUUUUUGAUUGUAGCAUCCUAAAAUAAGCAAUUGGAUCAUGUUCAACACAGGGAAAAUAGUUCCUUGAAUAUCUUCAUUACUGAUAAUCUCUUCCACAUCUGUCUUCUUAUCAUAGCUUUCUAAUGAGAUUUUAAGUAGUCUGCCUACCCCCAAUUCAUUUACCAUGUGAAUAUCACCACAUAAAUAAUUCUACUAAAGCUAUUCCUUAAUCAAAUCAUCCCCCUUCUCAGAAACCUUCAGUCACUUGGCUUACUAAAAAACAAAAUUCAUUAGUUUUCCAGGACUGGUUCCAUUCUAUCUUUCCUGAUUUCCCAUUGUUCCCCUGUGAAUGAUACAAGUUCUAGCUGAAAUUGGCCACCAGUCAUUCCUCUCCUACCUCCACCUUUUCCUUCCUCUUUGCAUUCCAGGUCUCACCCACCUUCCAUAACAGUUUGCAUGACUCUCCUCAACCAUCACUCACAACAGGUGUGAUACCAGCCACCCAUCAAAGCAUUUUCUCUUUCUCUUGCAGUUACUCUUGCAUUAGAUUAUAAACUCUUAAAGGGCUGGGCUUAGUUUCUGUCAUCUUUGUUUCUCCCACAGAGAGGCCUCAACACAAUUUGAGUGAAUUCAUGGAAUGAAUCAUGCAAGUCCAUGUGGUUGAGAAGCAGAAGAGUGAGGACCAGAAUCUCUAACUCUUCAUUCCUCAUUCUAUUACUUUUUACACCACGGCCGUUGCAAAAAUCUCCCAUAGGACUUUGAAUUGCCUUUGGAGAAGGAUGGGGAGAACAUGUUGCUCCAGACAUUUAAAACUGAAUCAAAGAAGGCAGUAAAACUUGCUGCAGGGAAUCGUCCUGGCAGAAAGAUCAGCUUAGAUGCCUUUUUGCUUCUAAUCUCUUAUGGUGGUAGAGCAAAUGGACUAUGAAGUCUCCUAUGGAAAUUGAUACUGUUCAUUGGAUCUUUUUACGUACGCUUUUUUUUCUUUUUAAAUGGAGCCUGAUUGGAGACUUACAGUUUAUUUUGUGUGUGGUCAAUUAUUUCUAAAUGGGUUCAAACUUUGUGUGUGUGUUUGAAGAAUAUUUUUACAAAACAGAAUUUUGGACAGCACUUUUUUGAAGGCAUUAGUUUCCAAAUACAUUUAGCAUGGCACACUCACCAGGCCACCCUUUGACACCAUGAUGUUGUUUGAGAAGAGUGGAUACCAUUUUAAACCAGCUUGCUUAUGACAUUGCACGUUCCAAUAAAACACAAUCUGUCUUUGGGUUGGCUUGGCACUUUCCAUAGCUCUUAUACUCGCCUCCUUCUUGUGUCAAAUCAUACUUCAGUGUUAUCUCUGAUAGACAAUACUAGAAAGCAUAUUGUCUUGGUUGCAGCAAAAGUACGUUUCUGGUGUGGACAAAAAUAUGGCCACUUGCCUAUGACAUGACACUCAGGUGGAUAUAUGCUACUUUUAAUGAUGUCAGUUGAAGCAGAUGGACAAAGCACACCAUGUGGUGGAGGCUACUGACUGCCCUCCUUUUGUUUCAUUGUAAAGAUGUAGCUGGACCAUGGUUGUUCAGCCAGAGACUCAUUUCCCAGCCUUCUUACAACUACAUGAAGACUUGUGACUAUGCCGUUGUGGUAGAGUGUGAGGGAUGUGAUAUGUGCUGCUUCUGAGCUUGGGCCUUGCAAUGCUGGCUGGGUGCUCUUUUCACAAGCUGGAACUUAAAUCUGCCUCCAACCCUGCUCAGCAUGGUCAUAUUUUAGAGCAUGGGUGGCCAAACUUUUUCUUCAUGUAAAGGGCCAAAUAGUAAAUAUUUUCAGUUUUGUAACCAUUCAGUCUCUACCCUGUGGUGUGUAAGCAGCCAAAGAUGAUAUGUAAACAAAUGGGCAUGGCUGUAUUCCAAUAAAAUGUUAUGUGCAAAUCCAAGUGGCAGGCUGGAUUUGGUCCAUGGCCUGUAGUGUUCUAAUCCCUGCCUUGUGGUGAAUAAACUGUGGAAAGAAACUGGGUGCCUACAUGGCUGCAAGGAACAGAGCUGCCCCAGACCAGACCACUCUCCUAUGGAUAGGUUAUGAGAGAGAGGGGAGCUUUCUUCUCUUUAAGCCACAGCACUUUUGGGCCUCUUUGUGCAGCAGUUGGGCUUUUCCCCUAUUCAGCACACACGAGCAGGCACUGUUGGCCUUUUUUAGAUUCAGCUUCACAUUUGAGAGCAGGAAGCUUUAGUCUGGAGCUCCAGCCAUUUGAGAUUGACUCUUCACUGAGUCUUAUGUUUCCCCAGAAGGCUUUAAGUUAUUCCAUCCAUUUUAUUUAAGGAAGGUAGAUUAGUUUUGUCAGUAGUCAUCUGUCUAUUUGGAUUAUCGUCUUACCCUUUCUUGAAACUGAUGGAGGUAUUCCCAGGGUCUAUUUGAUGACCCCUGAGCUGCCUGAGGAACAUAGUAUGCAGAUAUAAUAUAUGAAGGAAGUAAAAUUUUUCUUCGGGGAUUUUUUUAUUCCUCCUUCAUCCAAAGUCCUUUUAUCCCUCCUCAGAUAUCUCUACUAUGGCUUAGUCUUAGAGUAUUGGUUUUUCUUAGCUAUAAAUUAUAGCUCAUAAAACUUAAUAUGUCAUUUUUGUUUUGUUUUGCUUUUUCUAAUCAUAAAUUAUAUGACCUUUACAGAAAAUUUAGAAAAUACAGAAAAACUGAAAAGUUACACAUGGUACAACUCACAACCACAAUCAUAGGGAGAAAGAGCUAUUUUUUGGCCAGACCAUCCCCUUAGUCUUGAGGAAUGCUGUCCAGGAUGAGGAAUGAUAGGGAGAGAGCCUGGGAGUCAACAGUUGGACAUAAAGGAUCAAAGAAAGGAAUGGGCAUAAAAGGAGAGGAGCCCAAGCAUGGAAAAGAGGAGAACAGAGAAGGGAGUCCUGAGGAGGAAGGAGGCAUCUGACACAACAGUGGUAAAAGCAUCCUUAGGAAACCCUGCUGUGUAUUGUGUCCUAUAGCUCUCCCACCACCUCUUCCUCAAGAGUCUUUGAGUGAAGCCCUCUGUGGCUUCCCCAGGCUUUUUUCUUUUUUCUUUUUGCAUGGGUAAGAUUUGUGUAUUUCAGGUUGUGAAACUGCGCUGAGAUUGUGCUCCAGGUGGCCCAGCGUAGUCCGAGUGCAUCGUCCUUCUGCAUCACCACCAGGGAGUGUGAUAGAAUUUGCAGACUUUGUGCCACAGAGAAAAAAUAGGUUUAAGAACUUUGACUUAGGAGUAAGUCAAAGAUGCCCUGACACAUACUAGUUAGAAUGGCAAACAAUUUUUUAAUAAUGAAAAAUGCCAAGUUUUGUUUAGAAUGUGGAAGAACUGGGAUGCUCAUUCACCGAUAGUGGGAUGUAAAUUGUUACAGGCAUAACGACUUUGGAAAACAAUUUGUCAGUAUCUAUUAAAGCAGAACAUACAUAUACCCUGUGGCCUGGCAAUUAGCUUCUGGGUGGAUGCUCAAUUGGAGUGUGUACAUAUGUGCACCAAAAGACAAACUAUUCAUAAUAUCUUCAAACUGCCCAUCAAUAGCAGAAGUCAUAAAUAUGGUGUAUUCAAGGAUGGAAUUCUACAUAGUAAUGAUCAUGAGCCAUCUACAACUAUACGUGACAAUGAGGCCAAUUCUCACAAACAGAAUGCUGAGUGAAAGAAGUAAGAUAAAGAGUUUCUGCUCUAGGAUUCUAUAUACAUAUGGAGUACAAAUACAGGGAACACAUAUCAGUGAGGUUAGAGGUCGGGAUGAUAGUUACCCUUGGGGAGGGGUUGGUGACAGGAAGGGAGUACAAAGGGGAUUUCUGCAAUGUUGAUAAUGUUUUGUCUUCUUAUCUGGAUAAUGGUUACAUGGUUGUGUUCAGUUUGUGAAAAUAUAGCAAAUUGUUUAGUUAUUAUGUGUGCACUUCUUGGUAUGUAUAUCACAUUUCAAUAAAAAGUAAAACCUAAAAAAUGAGUUAAAAUUUUUGCCACACUUUACAUACUAGCUUUUUUUUCAGAAGGUCAUAAUUCUCUCAUAAAAAUACUGAGCAAGACUAUAAUUGAAUACUGAAUCACUGCAUACUCAUCAAAUCCUGAUACAAAACAAACAAACAAACAAAAAAU
rnacentral:lncRNA from 10 species